GGACCUGCAAGGAAAGUCAAAAUCGGAGUUGGAGGUGCUCCGACAAGAUCCUCCGACGCUCAAGUCAGUACUCUGCUUCAACAGAAAUGGGGUGCUCGAGUGGAAAUUUUGGCAGAGUUUCGAGAUAGAGUUUUUUGAGCUUAGAAAAGAACGUAUCUGGGGAUCCUUAUUUAUAGAUGGAGAGCAUAACUGACUGACAGCGACAUCUGUAAC
rnacentral:lncRNA from 1 species